AUCAGAUUAAAGAAACAAUUAUUUGAAGUGUGGCGCUGCCAUCUCGAGAAACGGCCUUGCGAAAGGCAAAUCGCAACAACACACGGGACAACAG